GAUGAAGAACGUAGCAAAAUGCGAUAAGUAAUGUGAAUUGCAGAAUUCAGUGAAUCAUCGAAUCUUUGAACGCACAUUGCGCCCGCCAGUAUUCUGGCGGGCAUGCCUGUUCGAGCGUCAUUUCAACCCUCAAGCUCAGCUUGGUGUUGGGGCUCGCGGUAACCCGCGUUCCCCAAAUCGAUUGGCGGUCACGUCGAGCUUCCAUAGCGUAGUAAUCAUACACCUCGUUACUGGUAAUCGUCGCGGCCACGCCGUAAAACCCCAACUUCUGAAUGUUGACCUCGGAUCAGGUAGGAAUACCCGCUGAACUUAAGCAUAUCAAUAAGCGGAGGA
rnacentral:misc_RNA from 1 species